rnacentral:rRNA from 1 species
CCUACGGGAGGCAGCAGUGAGGAAUAUUGGUCAAUGGCCGGAAGGCUGAACCAGCCAUGCCGCGUGAAGGUCAGUGCCCUAUGGGCGUUAAACUUCUUUUGUGCGGGAGCAAUAAUGGUCACGUGUGGCCAGACGAGAGUACCGUACGAAUAAGCAUCGGCUAAAUCCGUGCCAGCAGCCGCGGUAAUAAGGGGGAUGCAAGCGUUAUCCGGAUUUAUUGGGUUUAAAGGGGGCGUAGGCUGUGAGGUAAGGCAGCGGGGAAAUGCCCCCGCUCAAGGGGGGGAAGUGCCAUUGAUACUGCCUUGCUGGAAUGCGGAUGCCGUGGGAGGAAUGUGUGGUGUAGCGGUGAAAUGCAUAGAUAUCACACAGAACACCGAUUGCGAAGGCAUCUCACGAAUCCGCGAUUGACGCUGAUGCACGAAAGCGUGGGUAUCAAACAGGAUUAGAUACCCGAGUAGUC